GCAAAUCUAAGGAAACAUAAUAAGACUAAACUACCCUUAACCUAAUUAACUUAUUACUUUAACAUCCCCCUCAAACUCACGAUACUACGACAAGGAGCAACAAGAGUUUGACCAACAAAAAGCGUAAAUGAUAAAUCGAAUUUGACUUCGUGGCAAAGUCUACAAGCUGCAACGAGGGAGAGCAACAAAAGGUAGGGAAAUGAUGCCCAACUGCAGAUAACCAACGAAACCACACAAUCUCAGCUAAACCCACUGCAGAUAACCAACGAAACCACACAAUAACCAACGAAACCACACAAUCUCAGUUAAAUCCACUGCAGAUAACCAACGAAACCAUACAAUCUCAGUUAAACCAAACGGAUGCAAAUUUCAAAUUCCAAAUGAACUUGACAUAUCAAUUCCAAGAACUGACUAUGCCAAAUUCCAAUCUCCAAAUAGACUGGGCAAACAACUGACCAUGCCAAAUUCCAAACUCCAAAUAGCUUGAACAAACAACUGACUAUGCCAAAUUACAAACUCCAAAUAGCUUGGACAAACAAAAUUUCUAAUCCCAUAAACUGGGCAAACAAACAAAAUUUCCAAAUCCCGUGAACCGGGCAUCAAACGAAAUUUUCAAUCCCACGAACUGGGCACAAAUUUCAAAUUCAAGCUCGACAAAUGCCAAAUUCCAGAUACACUGGAUCAACACCAAAACAAAUUUCCAAUCCAAAUAGAUCCAACAUUAAUUAACCGACCCAAUAAGCUGUCUAAUACACCAAAAACAGCCCAAACCAAUUACAGAAACCAAAUUGCUGUCCAAACAAAUUUAACCCAAAAUUCAGCCCAUUCACUAUACUUUCAAAAUUCUUAAUGAAGCAGCCCAAAAAAAAUAAAAUACUGCAGCACAACCCUCUGUCUAUGGCCCCAUAAGCCAGAACCAAACUCUUCAUAGCCCAAUAACCACACAAUAAAAUACAGGUCCAAUAAAAAUAAUACAGCCCACAGCUUUGGACCAACACAACACUUUCCAAUUUCAACACAAUCCAGUAUGACAGUACCUAAAACCGCACUACCGCAAUAUCACUACAUGUCGCUGCAAAUUCAACCCUCACCCAUCCGCCGCGGACCACAACUCAGCCUCCGGCAUCUGCCUUCUCCACUAUUGCCGUCGCCGGCCACUACAUCUCCAACUACGACCAAUUUCUUUAACACAUCACCAGACAAUCCAAAUGCAAAGGCAGAAGAACCCAGCGAUGCUCCUCCGCUAAAACCAGAAAAAUCAACAACGAGCAGCUCCCUGGCAGGCCACCAAACCAAGAAAGCCCGGAACUGCUGAAUACACACAUAGAGGAAUCGAAAAACCCAGGGGAAGAGAGAAUAGGACCUGCUUCGACCACUCACAGGACGUCGAAAACAACUGUUCCGGCCAGACAGCUCAGACCCAACCCUAGACGCCCCUCAAAAACCUAAUAUCAAGAAAAAAAAGAAACUGAACAAAAUUGUAAGUCAGACGAGCCGGACGAGCAGCCAAAGGCCACUCGCCGGAAGCGAAAUUCAAAGGCUGAUUUGUUUAGGAUCGAAACAGCUCUGAUACCAUGUUAGAAAACAACAAAUUAAAGAUGAAGAAUGGAGGAGAAAGAGAGAAAACGAAUCGUAGCAGCCUCCGAACUUGGUUUCAUAAUGUAAGAUUACAAUGGUUUAUAUAGUGCAAAUCUAAGGAAAUAUAAUAAGACUAAACUACCCUUAAUCUAAUUAACUUAUUACUUUAACAAAACCAAUCACAAAAUUAAGCAACUUAAAAUUUUAUUACACUCGUAUAUUCGAACUUUUUGAUGGGAACAGAACUCCUUACCCAUUUCCCGAUUAUCAAAUGCAUAGAUCUCAAUGCGAUCAUCGACCGUUGACUAAUCUCACUGCUCCAAACAUCAAUCGUCGACUCAUCGACAUUUUGAGUUACCAUCCCAGUGAGACCAUUUACCAAUGAACCCCAUAA
rnacentral:lncRNA from 1 species